CAGAGGUGGCAAGCGUUGUUCGGAAUUACUGGGCGUAAAGGGCGCGUAGGCGGCCAUCUAAGUCAGACGUGAAAUCCCCCGGCUUAACCUGGGAACUGCGUCUGAUACUGGAAGGCUCGAGUUUGGGAGAGGGAUGUGGAAUUCUAGGUGUAGCGGUGAAAUGCGUAGAUAUCUGGAGGAACACCGGUGGCGAAGGCGGCAUCCUGGACCAACACUGACGCUGAGGCGCGAAAGCUAGGGGAGCAAACGGGAUUAGAUACCCCGGUAGUCCUAGCCCUAAACGAUGAAUGCUUGAUGUGGCGGGUAUCGAUCCCUGCCGUGCCGAAGCUAACGCAUUAAGCAUUCCGCCUGGGGAGUACGGUCGCAAGGCUG
rnacentral:rRNA from 1 species